AACGAACGCUGGCGGCAGGCUUAACACAUGCAAGUCGAACGCACCCUUCGGGGUGAGUGGCAGACGGGUGAGUAACGCGUGGGAACAUGCCCUUCAGUUCGGAAUAACCCAGGGAAACUUGGGCUAAUACCGGAUACGUGCGAGAGCAGAAAGAUUUAUCGCUGAAGGAGUGGCCCGCGUCUGGUUAGCUAGUUGGUGAGGUAAAGGCUCACCAAGGCGACGAUCAGUAGCUGGUCUGAGAGGAUGAUCAUCACAACUGGGACUGCGACACGGCCCAGACGCCUACAGGAAGCAGCAGUGGGGAAUAUUGUACAGUAGGCGCAAGCCUGAUCCAUCCAGGCCGCGUGAGUGAUGAAGGCCUUAGGGUUGUAAAGCUCUUUCGGCGUGGACGAUAAUGACGGUACCCGCAGAAGAGGCCCCGGCUAACUUCGUGCCAGCCGCCGCCGUAA
rnacentral:rRNA from 1 species